AAGUUGAUCGGGGAUGGAGCCCCCCGUAUAACCGCCCGGGCUGGGCUGAUGACUCCUACCGGCAG
rnacentral:ncRNA from 2 species